rnacentral:rRNA from 1 species
GAUGAACGCUAGCGGCAGGCCUAACACAUGCAAGUCGAACGGGAUUCAUCAGCUUGCUGAUGAUGAGAGUGGCGCACGGGUGAGUAACGCGUAUACAACCUACCUCUUACAGUGGGAUAGCCCAGAGAAAUUUGGAUUAAUACCGCAUAGUAUACAUUUUCGGCAUUGGGAAUGUAUUAAACAUUUAUGGGUAAGAGAUGGGCAUGCGUUCUAUUAGUUAGUUGGAGUGGUAACGGCACCCCAAGACAGCGAUAGAUAGGGGCCCUGAGAGGGGGAUCCCCCACACUGGUACUGAGACACGGACCAG